rnacentral:rRNA from 1 species
AUUGAACGCUGGCGGCAUGCUUUACACAUGCAAGUAGAACGAGAGGCGAACGGGUGAGUAAUAUAUCGGAAAGUACCGAGUAAUGGGGGAUAACCAAGAGAAAGAGUGGCUAAUACAGCAUAUUUUUCGAGCGGCCGAUAAGUGAUUAGCUAGUUGGGGGGGUAAAGGACUACCAAGCCGACGAUCAGUAGCGGGUCGAAGAGGACGAUCGUCCCCACUGGGACUGAGACACGGCCCAGACUCCUACGGUAGGCAGCAGUGGGUAAUUUUGGACAAUGGGGGCAACCCUGAUCCAGCCAUGCCGCGUGUAUGAAGAAGGCCUUCGGGUUGUAAAGUACUUUUGUUAGGGAAGCGGUACCUAAAGAAUAAGCACCGGCUAACUACGUGCCAGCAGCCGCGGUAAUAC